CUGCACCACAAGCCCAAAUGCCCAUCAAUGAGCAUGAAUCUUGAAGAACCGAUAUAUGUGUUAGACUUACACAAAAAUAUUCAGAAAAGAAGACUUUCUUACUUUUUAUUAUUGCUUAUUUAAUGCAUGUAGAAGUCUCAUGCAUUUAUAGGCAUACGUACAAUAAAGAAACUGCUAGAACAGACUAACUGCAACUGAUAACCACACUAACAGUCUUAACUACUUUGAUAACUACUCUAACAUUCCCCUUGCUUAUUUGUUUUUGUAUUACAAAGAUCUUUCGAUGGCAGCACUCGAAGAGCACGUCUGAAGGAAGAAAAUUGCUUAGGCGUGAUUGGUUUUGUAAGGACAUCUGCAAUUUGUUGAGCAGAGGGAACAAAAUUGACUUGUAAACAACCAGCAAGUAUUUUUUCACGAACAAAAUGAUGGUCUAUUUCAACGUGUUUCAUUUUAGUAUGAUGAGUAGGAUUUUCAGCAACAGAUACUGUAGAAGAGUUGUCGCACCAGAUGGUUGGUAUCUUAGACAUUGACAUUCCAACUUCAUUUAGCAACUGUUGAAUAGAUAGGAGUUCAGACACGCAGUUAGCCAAGCUGCGAUAUUCUGCUUCAGCAGAGGAUCAAGAGACUACAGACUGUUUCUUUGAACACCAAGCCACCGGAUUUGAUCCAAGAUAUACCACAUAUCCAGAAGUGGAACGCCGAUCUUCAAUGGAAGAAGCCCAGUCAGCAUCCGAAUAUCCUACCAGUUCUAGUUGUCCUGCUGUAAGACAUAAACCAUGGUCCAUGGUGCCAGCUAAAUAUCUUAAUACCCGUUUGACUGCUCUCCAGUGAGUGUCACUUGGUGCACUCAUGUAUUGGCUAAGUUUAUUGGUGCAGAACGACAAGUCAGGCCGUGUAAUACAAACAUAUUGAAGCAUGCCCACAACACUUCUAUAUAAGUGCACAUCAGAAAAUGGAGGACUGCCAUCAGAAGCUACUAGCUUAGGUGUGCUUACCAUCGGAGUUGGUGUGGAUGCUGCUCCAAGCAUUCCAGUCUUCUCAAGUAGUUCAGUAACAUAUUUCUUUUGACUGAGCAUCAGCCCCUGUGAAGUGCGUCGAACAUCAAUGCCCAAAAAAAAACUGAGUGCUCCCAUGUCCUUGAGAGCAAAUUUGCUGUGAAGACGCUGCACAACAUCUUCAAUGUCUUGAUCAUGACUUCCAGUAAGAACAAUAUCAUCAACAUAUACCAUGAGUAGAAGACACUUCCCAUCAAACACACGAAUGAACAAGGAGGAAUCAGCUUUAGAUGCUUGAAAAUUGAGUUGAGUCACGAGAUACUCCUUAAGAGUCUGAAACCAGGCACGAGGAGCUUGUCUCAAACCAUACAGUGCUUUAUUUAGUUUGCACACCAGUUUCUGACCAGUGACACUUGGGACUUCAAAGCCAGGAGGUUGGUCCAUGUAUAUUUCUUCAGUAAGCUUACCAUUGAGGAAAGCAUUGUUGAUGUCGACUUGGCGAAGAGACCACCCCUGCAUAAUUGCAAGUGAAAGAACAGUGCGGAUGGUGGAGGCUCGAACCACUGGACUAUACGCAUUAUGAAAAUCAAACCCAGCAUGUUGAGAAAAACCUUUUGCAACUAACCGAGCCUUGUAUCUGUCAAUGGAGCCAUCAGACUUUCUUUUUACCUUAAACAACCAUUUGCACCCUACUGCCCUCCGAUUCUCUGGAAGGGAGCACAAAGUCCAGGUAUUAUUUCGUGCCAAGGCUUGGAGCUCACUAUAAACUGCUUCCUGCCAACACUCAAACAUCAUUGCCUCAUGAAUAUUGGAAGGAUCAUCUUUUGGGGAAGAAGCUGCUGUACUAAGAUACACCUUUGGCUUAAAAACUCCAGCCUUGCUUCUGGUAAUCAUGUGAUGAUUGUUGAGUGUCAAGGGUUGGAGGGUUUGCUCCUGUUGUUGAAGAGAAGUCGACACAGGUGCGGAUUGUGGGGAUGGAACUGUUUGUUGAGAAAAAGGUGGUAAAGGUGAUAAAGUAGGUGUAUUAUGUAUUACAUUAUGGGAAGCAGAUUGUGAGUGAGACAUUGAAUGUGAUGGAAAAGGUGUAGUGGAGGUAGGUGUUGAAUGUGAUGGGAUAGGUGUAGUGGAGGUAGGUGGCGUAUUUGGUGGAGGUGUAGGCAAAGUGCUAGAACACGAAACAUGAGGUGAAGGAACAACUAAAAGUUUAGCACUAACUUGUGGACUAGAAAUAGGUGAUGUGACUGGUGAAUAAUGACUUAUGUAUGGAAAAGUAGUUUCAUUAAAGGUGACAUGACGGGUGACAUAGACUUUGCCAUUGGGGUCUUUACAUUUAUAACCUUUAUGUACUGAAAAGUAACCUAGAAAAACACAGGGUAUUGAACGAAAUUGCAGCUUUGUUUUUGUGAACGGCCUAAGAUUUGGAAAACACAAGUAGCCAAAAGUUCGAAGAAAAGAAUAAUCAGGUUUCGUUUUAAACAAUUGCUCAUAUGGGGAUAUAUUACCUAGAGGUUCUAUGCCUGCUUAUCGACCAACAAAUGCAACUCGGGGGCGUGGUCGAGGACGUUAUUCCAACUCAAAAAUUCAGUGUCAAUUAUAUGGAAAAUCUGGCUCUGAUACCAUGUUAGACUUACACAAAAAUAUUCAGAAAAGAAGACUUUCUUACUUUUUAUUAUUGCUUAUUUAAUGCAUGUAGAAGUCUCAUGCAUUUAUAGGCAUACGUACAAUAAAAAGAAACUGCUAGAACAGACUAACUGCAACUGAUAACCACACUAACAGUGUUAACUACUUUGAUAACUACUCUAACAAUAUGAAACUUAAUAGCGUUAGAUCUCUAACUUAGUUACCAGCAAUCUACAUGAUCAAAACUUCACUAAAUCUCAUAAAUUUCUAAAUGUUCUAUUGCAGUAAUCCAAGCUUCCAUGUUUUCAGUAUCAACUUUUAAGAAAAUACCGUAUUGUCUUGCAGGUAAGCAAAUAGUUGAUUGGCGGCAACAUUAGCAUGCUAUUGCAAACUCAAGCUUGUACUUUAAGGUACAACCCCUAAAUGUAUGUACGCUAGUUGUUAAAGGAAGUUUCUCGCAAGCUGACAACACGUUAAGUUUCAACGAUUUAACGGACCCAUGAAGGACAAACGAAAAGAAAACCGAAAUAAAGGGAGGAAAAAAGAAUUAUGCUAUUGAACCAAACGUCAACGUUUUUAGCUUUAAUAUUAAAUCCCCUGUUUGCUUACCGGGAGAAGAAACGAAAAGCCAGAUAAAAGGGGAAAAGAAAAACUCCCCAACCAGACAGAUAGAAUUCAAAUCAGAAUUCGAAUUACCUUC
rnacentral:lncRNA from 1 species